rnacentral:rRNA from 1 species
GUGAAGCUGGAUUCGCUAGUAAUCGCGCAUCAGCCAUGGCGCGGUGAAUACGUUCCCGGGCCUUGUACACACCGCCCGUCAAGCCAUGGGAGCCGGGGGUGCUUGAAGUGCGUCGCCGCGAGGCGCGCCCUAGAGCAAAACCGGUGACUGGGGCUAAGUCGUAACAAGGUAGC